UACGUAGGGCGCAAGCGUUGUCCGGAAUUAUUGGGCGUAAAGAGCUCGUAGGCGGUUUGUCGCGUCUGCUGUGAAAUCCCGAGGCUCAACCUCGGGCCUGCAGUGGGUACGGGCAGACUAGAGUGUGGUAGGGGAGACUGGAAUUCCUGGUGUAGCGGUGGAAUGCGCAGAUAUCAGGAGGAACACCCAUGGCGAAGGCAGGUUACUGGGCUUUAUCUGACGCUGAGGAGCGAAAGCGUGGGGAGCGAACAGG
rnacentral:rRNA from 1 species